AGCGAACGCUGGCGGCAGGCCUAACACAUGCAAGUCGAACGAACCCUUCGAGGUUAGUGGCGGACGGGUGAGUAACACGUGGGAACGUGCCUUUAGGUUCGGAAUAACUCAGGGAAACUUGUGCUAAUACCGAAUGUGCCCUUCGGGGGAAAGAUUUAUCGCCUUUAGAGCGGCCCGCGUCUGAUUAGCUAGUUGGUGAGGUAAUGGCUCACCAAGGCUACGAUCAGUAGCUGGUCUGAGAGGAUGACCAGCCACAUUGGGACUGUGACACGGCCCAAACUCCUACGGGAGGCAGCAGUGGGGAAUCUUGCGCAAUGGGCGAAAGCCUGACGCAGCCAUGCCGCGUGGAUGAUGAGGGUCUUAGGAUUGUAAAAUCCUUUCACCGGUGAAGAUAAUGACUGUAGCCGGAGAAGAAGCCCCGGCUAACUUCGUGCCAGCCGCCGCCGUAAUAC
rnacentral:rRNA from 1 species